GGACCAGUGACCCCUGCUGUCUUGCAUCAGUCGACUGUGAAACCUGUUUUUUUUUUUCAGAAUCUCGAGUUCCAGUGAGAUUUGGCUGUGUUUAGGUUUGGCUUGGGUACCGUCUCCAUUCUCAGAUUCAUGAAGAUAGAGGAGGACACUGUCUACUCUCUCAGGUGGUUCCUGAAAUGAACUCUUGAAGCCAAAAAGACAUUAU
ensembl:lncRNA